rnacentral:rRNA from 1 species
GACGAACGCUGGCGGCGUGCUUAACACAUGCAAGUCACGGGGGGGGUAGCAAUACUCAACCGGCGAACGGGUGCGUAACACGUGAGCAACCUGCCGAUCUGUGGGGGAUAGCCGGCCCAACGGCCGGGUAAUACCGCAUACGUUCACCGAGGGACAUCCCUUGGUGAGGAAACCUCCGGGGCAGAUCGAGGGGCUCGCGGCCUAUCAGCUAGUUGGCGGGGUAACGGCCCACCAAGGCGACGACGGGUAGCUGGUCUGAGAGGAUGGCCAGCCACAU